UCCAGCCCUCAGGGAACGGACAGACCUCCUUUAGUAUUCCAUCUGAUUUCCAUCAUCAGUCAGAAGGACUUUAAAACCACUGGAGAAACCGCCUUUUGCCCUAAAGCUCUAACAACGCCCCCCUCGCUCCCCACCCCCGCAAUGUCUCCUGUGCACAUUCAGUGCGUGUUCGUGUUUGUGCGUGUGUAUGUGUGAGCAUCCUGAGCUGCCUGCGCUUGUUUCAGAGAAACCCUUCCCCCGCCGCCCAGUUCUCUAGCAAACUAUUACCUUGUUCUGACAAGUCGACUUAAGACUAUUUAAUGCCGAAAAGCACUUGAGCGAUAGGAUACAGCCGUCAAGGUAGGACGUGGAGCUUGCGAAGACAAUUUGGCUCAAAUUCCUCCAUUAGGAAAAUGCACGAUACGGCUUUGGCUGCCCUCGGGAUCCGGGCUGAAAGGGAAAGAGCCCGAGGCCCUCCGCUGGGCUUAGCUGGCUGGAAAGGAGCAAGUCUGGCACGGGUCGGACCCUCGGGAGGAACCUAUAUCCCCGGUUCGGAGACUGGGCUGCUUUGAAGUCCACUCUGCCUGCAGCUUCCAGAUGGUCCCGAGGGAUGGAAGUAUCUGGUGCACCGUAGGAUCCAAAGGCGAAUGAAUAACCUUAUUUUCAAAUGCUGUUCUGGGCCGGUUUUUGACUUUUUAAGACCUAUCUUUUUGUGGUUUGGGUUUUUUGUUGUUUUGGUUUUGUUGUGGGGUUUAUGUUUGGUUGGUUGUUUGUUUUAUUCUUCCAGCGUCUGCAUACUUUUCAGAGCACUUAUUUGAGCAUAACUUAUAUUUUUCCUGAAGCAGAUAGGGAAAUGGUGUGUUUUCUCAUGGAAAAAAAAUAAAAUUAAAUAAUCUGCUAAGUCUGCUUUUGUA